rnacentral:rRNA from 1 species
GAGAGCGGCGGACGGGUGAGUAAUGCCUAGGAAUCUGCCUGGUAGUGGGGGAUAACGCUCGGAAACGGACGCUAAUACCGCAUACGUCCUACGGGAGAAAGCAGGGGACCUUCGGGCCUUGCGCUAUCAGAUGAGCCUAGGUCGGAUUAGCUAGUUGGUGAGGUAAUGGCUCACCAAGGCGACGAUCCGUAACUGGUCUGAGAGGAUGAUCAGUCACACUGGAACUGAGACACGGUCCAGACUCCUACGGGAGGCAGCAGUGGGGAAUAUUGGACAAUGGGCGAAAGCCUGAUCCAGCCAUGCCGCGUGUGUGAAGAAGGUCUUCGGAUUGUAAAGCACUUUAAGUUGGGAGGAAGGGCAUUAACCUAAUACGUUAGUGUUUUGACGUUACCGACAGAAUAAGCACCGGCUAACUCUGUGCCAGCAGCCGCGGUAAUACAGAGGGUGCAAGCGUUAAUCGGAAUUACUGGGCGUAAAGCGCGCGUAGGUGGUUCGUUAAGUUGGAUGUGAAAUCCCCGGGCUCAACCUGGGAACUGCAUUCAAAACUGUCGAGCUAGAGUAUGGUAGAGGGUGGUGGAAUUUCCUGUGUAGCGGUGAAAUGCGUAGAUAUAGGAAGGAACACCAGUGGCGAAGGCGACCACCUGGACUGAUACUGACACUGAGGUGCGAAAGCGUGGGGAGCAAACAGGAUUAGAUACCCUGGUAGUCCACGCCGUAAACGAUGUCAACUAGCCGUUGGGAGCCUUGAGCUCUUAGUGGCGCAGCUAACGCAUUAAGUUGACCGCCUGGGGAGUACGGCCGCAAGGUUAAAACUCAAAUGAAUUGACGGGGGCCCGCACAAGCGGUGGAGCAUGUGGUUUAAU